rnacentral:rRNA from 1 species
UACGGGGGGGCAAGCGUUGUUCGGAAUUACUGGGCGUAAAGGGCUCGUAGGUGGCCAACUAAGUCAUACGUGAAAUCCCUCAGCUUAACUGGGGAACUGCGCCUGAUACUGGUUGGCUUGAGUUGGAGAGGGACGCGGAAUUCCAGGUGUAGCGGUGAAAUGCGCAGAUAUCAGGAGGAACACCGAUGGCGAAGGCAGGUCUCUGGGCCGAUACUGACGCUGAGGAGCGAAAGCGUGGGGAGCGAACAGG